CCUACGGGGGGCAGCAGUGAGGAAUCUUCCGCAAUGGGCGAAAGCCUGACGGAGCGACGCCGCGUGAACGAAGAAGGCCGUGAGGUUGUAAAGUUCUUUUCGGGAGGGGGAACAACCGUGGCAGGGAAUGGCCGCGGGAUGACGUGAAUCCCGGAAUAAGCCCCGGCUAACUACGUGCCAGCAGCCGCGGUAACACGUAGGGGGCGAGCGUUGUUCGGAAUCAUUGGGCGUAAAGGGCGUGCAGGCGGUCCUGCAAGUCCGGCGUGAAAGACCCCGGCCCAACCGGGGGGACGCGCUGGAAACUGCAGGGCUUGAGUACAGGAGGGGAUGCCGGAAUUCCAGGUGUAGGGGUGAAAUCUGUAGAUAUCUGGAAGAACACCAAUGGCGAAGGCAGGCAUCUGGCCAUGUACUGACGCUGAGGCGCGAAGGUGCGGGGAGCAAACAGGCUUAGAUACCCUAGUAGUC
rnacentral:rRNA from 1 species